ACCAAGGUUCGUAUCAGGGGUAAAUAUUUUGAUAUCAAUGUAAAUAGCCUUAUGGUCUGUGAGGGGAGUAGUACAAAUAUUUGUAGUAACACACUCACUAUCAAUACAUUUGGAUAAAAGCCAAAAAUCUAUUCUGGAUUUUCUGGAGCCUGUUUUGUUACUCCAAGUGAAUGAUCUUUCGGCCGGAAACCUCUCUCUCCAUAUAUCAGUAAGAUCAAACUUUUCCAUAAAAAGUAUUAAACCCAAAUUCAGAGCAGACCUGUAUGCCAUUUAAAACAGUAUCUUGGUUACUGUAUACAUAAAACAUAAAUUCAGCUUUCAAUCUUCUUCGUAAUUUUGUAAACAAAAUAGGUCUUCUGGUCAUACAAGAACAAACUAAUGAAAUGAAAUUCCUGAGUAUUCCUGUAAAAUAGUCACCUGAUGCUUGUUAGGUAAACCACAUAAGGAAAAUGAGAAUACCAUGGCUGAAACCAUCAACCUGUUCCUUCUGGUGAUAUUUUAGGGAGGAAUAUGGAUUUCUGAACCGUUGAUGAAACCUCGUCCUCCGACGAAGUAAGCAGCCUUCCCCUCACUUCGUGCUAUCUUGAUCGUUGGCCACAACUUGUUCCUUCUUUCUAUGUCUUCCGGGCUGAGAUGCUCGGCGAAACGCAUACCAUGGCUCUGAAGGAAGGCGUUCUUCCUAGCAGCUUUCCAGACAGCAUCCCUGUAGAAUCUGGUAGUGAAUAGGAUGAUGAUACCCCUGGGUCUUGAAUCGUUUUGCUGUUGCUUCUUGCCGAGGCGAUGUUCAACGUCGAUGGUAUCACCAACUUUGUUCUUCUCUGCAGGCAAAACUUCUUGGCAGAUACGGAUAGCCUCUCCUCGCACAUCUUCAUUCUCCACCUCUGGCAAGCCGUAGAGUCUCAGGUUCCAUUUUCUUGUGUAUUGUUCCAGAUCAGUGAGACGUCUAUGGUAGACAUUGUUAUUCUUUUCCACCCUUUCCACAUUUUUUUCAACUUUUGCCACUCGUUUUCACAUCAUUAAUUUCACCACAUGCAAACUCCACAGUCUUUUUCAAGCCUUCGAUAACCAUGGUGUUCGCGCUUACCAUUUUCUCAAUGGCGUCACACCUGGAGUUGACAUGUAAGGAGAGGGUAGCCAUGAUGUCAGAGUUCAUGUUGGGUUUUUUGGAGGGUGGAGGUUUGCACGGAGUAACCGGUGAAGAGGAGAAUUCGUCAUCUUCAGCAUUCGAAAGCAUGCUAUUAUCCAUAGGCGAAGCGUAGUUAUGGCAGUUGUCUAAAAGCACGUUUCUCUCUUGUUGAUUAGCAAUAGAACGGCUAACUUCUUUCUUUCUUUUUUUGUCACGACUUUGCUUGGGCAUGCUGAAAUAAAUUAUCCAAUUAUCAUUCCAGUCACAGGAAAGGUCUUAUAUCGCAAACAAAUAAAAAAUAAUAAUGACUAAACUUUUUUUUUUCACAAUCUUUCUGAAGUUUGGUACGGAGCUCGGUAAAAAAGCGUCUGUUCAAGCAGCCAUCUUGGCACUCCCCGACCAAUUGUUGUUGUUCCCAUUCUCGUUCCUUUCCCUCUCCCACACAUCAUCAUUCUGCGCCUGAGUGGCUCGCUUGUGGGCGUGCUGGCAGAAUAUGGCAGGAGCAUGGGUUGUGCGUCAAGAAUUCUGCAUACAGUAGCACGUUUGAAUGAAGGUGUGGUUAUUCACAGGCAAAUUGUUAUAUGCUAUGGAGGUACAUUUGUGCCUUUUUGUUGAGAGAAAAACUCUUCUUUAAAAAAAAAAUUCAAUCAAAAAUAAUUGUUCUGAAAGCAACUCUUUCCCGACACAAAGGAAGUCAUAGCGGACAUCUACGAAGAAAGACUGUGUUAUGAUGGCAUCUCAGGUAAGCAGCACUGGGCAUUUUUCCGUCCAAAUUUUAAAUAGCUAGUAGUUAGCUCCUACGAUUCAGUGUAGGUUUAUAAAAUUCUACUAUAUUAUAUAAAUCCAUACCGUAGAGUGAUAAGUCAUGCAAUUAUUAUUCUCAAGCUAACCAAAAGCGAUUAGCGUUCUCGCCAUUUUCAGUUGAAUUAAUCUAACUUUCUUUCAUGGCAACUCAUAAGCAGGCCAUGUCAUAUUUGUUUCAUAGUCGAUAUAUAAUCAUACUUCAUGACAGUGUAACGGUUAGCUUUUUACAGAAGGAUGAAAGAACACAAUAUGUCUGUCACAAAGAGUUAGGGAGGCUUUGCAGCGUGUAGAUGAUGCAGGUAUCAUUGCAUAUUUCCCAUCACCUAAUGAACAACCACAAUAUCAGUCUGGUGUUAAGCUUUCUGUGCUGUAUUGACGUAUCCUGAAAAUGACAUUUGCUGCUUUAGAUUGAUAUCUACAAAAAAUAAGCUAUUUUCUUUACUUUCAGAGAGCGAGCUGAUCAAGGGGUCGAAAAUGUAGAUAUUGCCAGAUGUUCACUGUUCGAGGAACAGGCCGCGGAAGCUAUGGCAAAAGUGUCCAUAACCAGAGCAUAAAGUACUCAGUAGCCACUUCGGUUGGACACCUGGUAUGUUUUGAUGUGAGAGAGGAUGCCGGUCCCGUCAUCGUCACCUCACCCACUCUUAAGAUAACCUUCGGGCCAACUGGGGGCCCAAGGCUGGUUAGGAGACAG